GCUCAGAUGAAUUUCUACCUGGGUACUUCGAGUCUACCUAGUUUAGACACCUUAUGAUUAACUUAGCUAAGACACUCAAUUUUUUUCCAUGAAUUUUAUUUUGGCUUUCAACCGGGUUAUGCUUUUGACGUUUGGUUUAGCCUGUUUACACUUUCUCAUCAACCGACACCGGCACGACCGACCGACCGCGUGAAAAAAGAAAAAAAAAAUCUGUUGUUCGUUGCGGGCCUCGCGCGAGUCGUGAAUAUUUUGAAAAAUUAUGCCGCCGGUAGUCAUCUCAGGGCCCAUGGUUGGCCCAGAAUAGACUAAAAUCUACGCCGUUGAUCAUCCGGACGCAUUCCAAUAGAUAGUAAAUAGAAUGCAAAAAGUGGUUCUCCCGGUUCUGCAUUCGGUGAAGCAGAUGUCGCCUGCAAACCUUGUUCCUGCCAAUUGUAACCGGAAGGUUGAAGUGUACCGUUGCUUUUUUCGUCAUGCUGGGAGUGCAUAUCACUCGCAACGAGGUUGGAAGAAUCGCAAUAUAUAUAAUCGGUCAUCGAAAAGCGGUGAACACUUCAGCUUGGACGUUCUUGGGGUGUGUAACGCAGUCCUGGUUUUUGUUUUCAAGGUGCCGGAGGAGCUGAUCGACGUUUAUAGUUGGCACCGGGAGUUGAAUGAAGAGCAUCAACGACUUGUAGCGCAUUCGAUGGAUUCUACGUAACUCAACAAAAGGCCAAAGGGAAAUGGAAAGUGUUCUGCAUGUAUAAUCAGAAUGAAACUCUGUAUGUAUAAACCUUGCCACCAAGACGCAAUAUUGACGGCAUUGUCCGGUCAACCCGGAUCCGGCUACAUAUUGUCAUAUUGCUGAUAAAAUUGUGUGAAUGUUAGAAUAAUGUAUGGUGAGUAUUUUUGAAAUCAUCAUCGGGUUUGAUGCUGUUUUUGGUCAAUUUUUAAUUGUUGUACCAUAAUUGUUAAUUUUGGCUUCUUCUUCUUUCUGGCAUCAGGUUCACAUUGGAACUUGGCCUGCAUCUCUCAGACUUCUUCAAUCCACAGUUAUUAAAUGAAAGGCUUUCUUUGCAUUG